AUUGAACGCUGGCGGCAGGCUUAACACAUGCAAGUCGAGCGAGCGGCGGACGGGUGAGUAAUGUCUGGGGAACUGCCUGAUGGAGGGGGAUAAAUACUGGAAACGGUAGCUAAUACCGCAUACCAUCGGAGGGGCCAAGAUGGGAUUAGCUAGUGGGUGGGGUAAAGGCUCACGUAGGCGACGAUCCCUAGCUGGUCUGAGAGGAUGAACAGCCACACGGGAACUGAGACACGGUCCAGACUCCUACGGGAGGCAGCAGUGGGGAAUAUUGCACAAUGGGCGCAAGCCUGAUGCAGCCAUGCCGCGUGUGUGAAGAAGGCCUUCGGGUUGUAAAGCACUUUCAGCGAGGAGGCGUUACUCGCAGAAGAAGCACCGGCUAACUCCGUGCCAGCAGCCGCGGUAAUAC
rnacentral:rRNA from 1 species